GGGACCUGGGGUGGUGUACGCGAUCCUUUCAGGGCACCUAACAUCAGAGAAAACUGGGGGAAUGGACGCUGAAAUAUCACCUCCUGUCAAGGGCGCGAUGGGUUAUGGCUAGCCUUGCUUACGGCUCGCAUACCCUAAAAACCCGUCGUUUUUAAACCAGCUCUCGCAGGACUUCACCCCUCCCCCUGACUGUUGCCACAACUGUUGGGCCUUGCUGUCAAAAUACACGGUACAGCAAGAUACAGGAUUCUGCAUUUUGUGUUAAAUUUUUGCUCAGCUAACCAAAUAAAAACUUGAAAUAGAGGGAAAGUCCUUAAAAAUUAUUCCGUUACAUUUUGCCCAUUUUGGUCUGUUGAGCCGAAUCUUCUCAGUCUUUGCUGUUGUAAAAAGUUGGCUUAAUUUCAGGACUUGUCCGCGUUCCCAGCUUGAGACAGGUUAAGACCUUCUUUUUGUGCGUGCUCCCAGAACUGCCCAGAGCUCACAGAAUUGCUGCCCCGGUGACCGAACGCUCAGAGGACUCUCCACCCAUCCCUUGAGCAUCCUUGUAAAAUGUAUUAUCUCCAGCUUAGGCUCUUUAAGAGUUGCUGGAUAUUAUAAGCAUUUAACACAAUAAAUUCUUUAGGAAAUCUAGUCCUAACUGUGGGAACCGAGCACUUGAAACCCUGUCCUUGUGUGUUUCCAGGUGAGUACCCCAAAUCACUCAUAUUAACAGCUACUUGAGAUUAAUUUAGAAUUCAGGCCCUCAUCUUGUUCAUGUGAAGGGAAAACUCCCAUUGAUUUCAAUUGAUCCAGUAUCAAAGCCUUAUGCAUCACUCCCUGCUGCAAACAGAAGGUAAGAUAAUACUAAGUUUGAUGUCUGUCUACCUACAAGCACUUACGAAGGAAUGAAUACCAUAUCCCACCCAUCACUUGAAGUCACCAAAAUACUGACUAUUCAAAUUGCGGCAUUUUAAAAUUUAUAUCAAAACCCCUGAGCAGUGCUUACAUAUUAAAUGGGUUUUAGACAGUAGUUGGAAGAAUACAAAACCCCUCAAGAGGCUCACACCUUUUCUUUCCUUCCUGUUCUUCAAUUUAAAGCUGUACUAAUUUUAUAGGUAUGGCUUUUACUUUAUCUUUCCUUCUUUUUCAGAAGUACAAUUGGACUUGACGGAUAUAAAGGUUUACACAGUAUCUAUUUACAGUAUCUUGGAACUUGGAACAAUUGAGUAACUUCCUCCAUGCCUCCCAAAAUGUCCCAUUUAAUUCUAAUCAUUUGCAGUUCUUAUAGCCUUGAGGAUCUCAAAGGAUUUUCAGCAUGACUCGGCUAAAGCUUACAAGAGAACUGCCUUGGGAGAUGUUUAGGAGAACAUGAUAUCCAAGAAGACUGAGCAGUCUUUGUGGGGACAGUGGAUUGGGCAACUGAAGAGAUGCAAUAGGAUUUCAGAGAAUCUCCAAAUCCCUGCAAAUCCUUCAGCUGAACAGGCUCAGCAUCCUUCCCUUCCUGAACAGUUUGAUCCAGGGAUCUAGGGUGGAUACAACCAUCUAAGACCUCCCUGUCAGGGGAAGUGAAUGGAAGCCCACUGCUCAGCACUGACAGAUCCCACUGGCAGUCCUGCUUUAUGUGCAAGAAAAAGUCCUGCAGAGUUGAAGAGUGAGAAGGGGAAAUGGGAUCACUGCCUACUGACUGAUGUCAUGCAACAGAUGGAAGUGCCAUUACUGAAGAGAUCUUCAGCCUGUCUUCCAAAUCACAGGCCGUUGUUGGGUACCAAGACGAAGGGCAGACUCACACUUUUCACUUCAGGGCUUUUCACUUCAAUAACUGAGGCAGCAGAGGCGAAUCAUACAGACGUCCCAUCAAUUUAGAGGUGUUUGAGAUUAACUCCUUUCACUUUAGAAAGUGUUUAAAGAAAAGCUAAGAAAGGCUGAGCACACAGGGCUCCAUUACCCUUGCCGGGACUCAGGGGAGUUGGCUUCACUCCUGAUGAGAUUUUCAGAUCACGUGGUGUUACAGAUCUCCAGUGUCUUGAAUUUACUUCUCUAGAGGCUCUGACUCCUGGAACAAAGAGGCAUGAAAGAGCACUGCACGGGAUUUCCUAAACUGGAUUCAGAAUAUUAUGAAGGAACUGUUUCACCCCUAUUAACUGGGAAAAUUGGCUCACAAGGCUUGAUAUAUCAAGUGAACUUCAGUGAAGUUAUUCCUGACUCACACCAAGAUAAGAAGAAAGAGAAGCAAGUUCUUCAUGUUUAAUGUUAUAUUGUGCCAGAUGUUUUGCUGGUAGAAAUCCAUAGCUCCACAGGCACCAAUUUUUUCAGGAUCUGGAAUGUCUGGCCCAAUUUCUUUCUUCAUUCUGGAGGCUCUGUGAAGGAAACCGCUUUAUUUUGCAAUAUUGAAUAUUCAUGCUGGGAAGUUAUAAGCAAAAACAAAAUAAUGAGAGACAGGGUCUCUAAUAAGCUUCCUGUCACAUGAGGCUCUGGUUCUAUUGAAGCAGAUGUGGUUGCUGACUUGUUUCCAAAGUGUUUGUUGAGUGAUGAUUCUUCAUACUGAUGUUAUCUCUCAGUGAUCUCAUUCAAUACAAGUAGUUCUGUAAACAGUGAAACCUUCUUUCCUAUGGAUUUAUGUCCUGGAUUUUGUUUCGACAUGGAUCCUCCGAUGUUUAAUGGAGACUGAGUUCAUAUUUAGCCUAUUGCUUCAAUGAGGGAUAAAUAAUCUGUCUCCUUUACUCGGCUAUUUUCACAAAACUUGCAGGAAUUAUAUAUCUUCAAGGGUCUCUGUCAAAGUUGACUGAGAUUUAUGAACAAAUCCCACAGUUAUUUGGGGCAGAUUGGUGUGGACAAACAUGAACAUGAGUCUCAUUUCCUUAGAAAAGCCAAAGAUAAGAAUGCAUUUUUAGUGUUUUGCCCUUGCGAUUUGUGACCGAUCAUAUGAGAUGUGUUUUAUUUGUAAAGCUGUGUGAAGUAUGGGAAAUUUUCUGCCUCAUGGAAUGCAUAUUAAAACAGCCUUCAUUUAUACUUGUUAUGGGGUACACAAUAGCUUACAUCCUUUUGCUAUUGUCCUUGUUGGAGUGUUGAAGAAGGUGCCAUGCAUUUUAACUUGCCUGUUUGCACAGGGAAAUGCAGAGAAAACAGAUCGUUGCUCCUUUUGAAUCAGACCCCAGCAAUUCUGUUUUGGAGAGGAGAAAAGGAAACAGAAUUGAAAAUGACCUUUUGGGUUGCUGAAUCCAGUCCUCUGCUUCUGCAGGGAGCCAAGUUCCCAAUCCUUUUCAUAAACUGAUUUCGCUAUUCAAAAAUUUGCUCUUUCCUCCCUGUUCUGUCUCUUAUCCUCCCCGCUUCCUACUUUAUUUGGGAGUUUCUUCCAGAAUCUCCCUGUUUUUAUAGGAAGUAACCCAUCCUAUGGUCAAUAUGUAUGUUUGGUCUUGUUCCAGUAAUAUCCUUUAGGUUGAUUAUUUCUUUCCUCUUCCAAUUGACUGCAGUGAGACUCUGCAUGUGCUCUGCUGUGCCAAGUCUAGUAAAGGAGGCAGGAAUUAGUCCUAAUAGUCAGUCCCUCACUUGUUUCACUCAUUCUUUGGCUGAUUAGAGCAAAUUCUUAUCACCAGUGUAUGUUAACUAGCAUUUUUCAUGAUAUGUCACAUUAAGCAAGGAGAAAGCUCCUAUGGAUCAUAGAUAAUUAGAGGAACGGGUCAAGCUCUGAGGAUAAUAGAGGAAGUGAGAAUGGUAGUAGGAGGGUUGGCAGCAGACUCAGUUUGCUGCAUAUAGAACAGUUUUUUUUACAGCCUUAAAGAGUGUCAUAUGAAAGUUAAAGAUACCAUGAAAAAAGUGAGGGAAUCAUAGCCAUUAUAGUUCUGUGUUAAAUAAGAAGGCCUGAAGUCUUUCCCUGUUCCUUCCAUUUUGACCUUUCAAAUCCAGUCAAGGCUUCAGUGGUUCAACAGGGAUUUCUUGGGGCCUGACCUGUGAAACCGUAAGCUUCAUUGAGUUUCAUAUUAAAAGUCAGGGCUCUUACCUUUAGCAAAGAUAUCUUUUCUCUCAAGUCCUUCUCAGCAACAAUAGAAUCCAUCUUGAUUUUACUCAUUUAAUCUGCAUACCUCUGAUUCUUAACCUUAUUAUUAUCCCUAUGAUUAAUAACCCUAUUAGCUGUUCAAACUCUCUGCUUAUUUUUUUACACUGGAAAUGUAAAUUUUGCUUCCUCUAGAGAAAGGAAUAGUUAAAUGAUUAUUAUUGAAAGUGAGCUGGAUUUAAGAAAAAAAUCUUAAAAACAAAAUAAUUGCUUCUUUCAAACCUCCUUGAUACAUUAUAAGUUAUAAAGAGUAAAGAAAAAAAGACACCAAACCAAUUGUUCUUUUUAAAUCUUGAGGAAAGUCCUGUAGGUAAGACAACUCUAGAAGUCUCUCUCACAGUCUUUGUAACCUUCUGCAAGUUUAGUUUCGUUUGCCUAAUGUAAAUGAGUGAUUAAUUUAAAACUGAAAAGUGAAUGGGAAGCAUGAAGGAGGGGGGCAAUAAUUCAAGACAAGACGUAGAUCAGACACAAAUAUCAAGUGUUUAGCUCCACUUGUGCCAGUGUAAAAGGUGGCAUCUCCUUAUGAGUAGAGAGGAAUUAUCAUGUGGAAACAGAACAAAAGCUAGAGAUCAGGGGUCACUCGCUUCUAUCACAGAGUUGCCAGAUUUCUUCAUUAUAUUCAGUGUUGACAGAUUAAGCCCUUCAUUCUGAGUUGAAUCUCUGAAGGGGCCGAGAAAGAUGGCAGUCAACAUUUUCAACCCAAAUUUUGGGACUGGUUGUUCUGGCUGUGGAGCUUUUCCUUUAGGAGACCUUACCAGCCGGAACCAGUAUCUGUAUCAUCCAGCGACCCAUGUUUCGGUGCUGAGCAGCCAUGCUUGGGCAUCAGCUGCAGCCUCGUCUUGGACAGUGGGUGCAGCAGGUCUCUCUGAGAUUAUUUAGCUCAGAGUGAUUUCUGAACAAUGCUCAUCUUGGCCCCUAACAAAACACAUCGACACCCAAAGAUAGCUGGAAUGUAAUCUGGCUAAAAUUAUCAUCCUCCAAAUCGGUUCCCUGUCGUCCUCUGAGCCUCACCCUGUCCCAGGGGUCUGACAGGGCUUCUGUGGCAGGUAGCCAUCACCCAGGAACCUCCCCCGUGCCUGGCAGAUUAGGAUUGCCAGGGGUCUUUCCUGUUUUCUGGCCCCUUUCAGGACUGACAAAAGGAAGCCAGACACAGUCUGGAACUUGUGCCAAAAUUUUCAAGUCUUUGUUAGCUGGAAGGAUAGUGGAUAGUGGCCAGUGGUGUCUGGGUGUAAAAGGAAAAGGAAAUCAGAUGGAGUCUCAGGAGGCUAACAGGAGGUGCAGAUGGUCAGGGAUGAAUGUCCCACCUUUCAUUUCUUUGGAAUAUUAAACUUUAACAAAUGAUGUAUCGAAGAGCAAUUCACAACCGCACAGCAUAUGCUCCUAUCAUCAGGACAGAAGCACACACAUUCCUGCUCACUGCGCUAGUCCUGUUAGUGGUAUCUUCACCAUGUUAUUCCACCUUCAUACUUAACUCUGAUUGUUAGCCUGGCUAUAAGAAUAUGCCCUCUGCCUGUGUCUGCUUGUUUGUUUGUCUCAUCUCUUUUAAGCCACUGACCCUUUUCAACCACAUCUGAUAGAAUACAAGAAGCUCAAAGUUACAAAUUUCCUAAAAAAUUCAUGGCUAUAGGUAGCCAUGUCCGUAUGGAGAAUAUGGGAGAGAGACCCCUAUAAGAGGACAAAAUCUACACAGGUGUAAAAGCUAAAGACACAAAUCUGUAGGACACUGGACUUCACCAGAACUUAGCAUGAAAUGAUUGUUUGUCUAAUAUCUACUAGGUUUUUCUGACUAUGGCAAGCAAAUUAUUUAGUAAUGGAAACUACAUAUGUAUCUGCUUGGCUCUUGUGAGUUCAUGUUGUAGAAAACUGUAGGAGUGUCUGUAGGGCAUUAAAGGAUCAGAUUGCCCAGCUUUGUGUCAUAGACCUCGUAUCUUAACAGGCCAUGGAAACUCCCAUUUAGCUGAGGAAAAGUGUGUGGAGUGGAAAGAUUUAUCUUUAAUUGCUACUGUUUUGUAAAAUAACCUUAACAGGCCAGAACUGUGAAAUUGUGUGUGACUUAAGAUUUAUUACAUCACUACCACAUUUUUGUGUCUCCUUUCCAGUUCCUGGAUAUGAAAGAAGUUAAAGGCCUAAAAUUUCAACUUCACAUCCCGAUAUACCCUUUGUCACCUCCUAUAUACCUCCAUGGACAAAGGAACUUCCUCAAGCUUUGCUUGUCCUGUUACACUGUGAAGGUGUCAGCACUGAUGCUGCAAAACUUCAUGCAACCUUAGGAAAAAAAAAAAAAAAAAACCAAGCGUAUUCUCAAUGGGAAACAGAUGGAGUUUUCAUUAAAUAUAACUUUUAAUGAUCUGCUUUAAAAGGAAAGAUAUGGCAUUCUGAGCAGAAGAAGGGCCUCCUAAUAGCUUUGUUUAGGUCACAGGCUCAUUAUCGUGGCUACAGAUAGGAUUGCAGGAUCUUUGUAUCAUUAGGAGUUCCAGUCAAACCUCCCUACCAUUAUUAGCCUUCCAAACACACAGGGAAACAAUUCUGGUCCUUAGCAAUAUUUUUCCCUGAGACAUAUCUUUAUUUAAUGUUUAUUAUGAGGUUGGCAGUUGAUUGUUCAGUUUCUGGAGCAUUACCAUUUAACCUAGGGUCUAAAUAAAAAUGCUUCAAUAUUUAUUGCAGGGCAGACUUAACUGACAGCCUGGUCUUCACAGUCAACUUUGGUGUUACUCCUCCAGGUGGUUUUACUGGCUGAGAGAGGUGACACCGGUAGUCUAGAAACCUUGAAUAUCCUUCCUAAAAAGAUGAACCGUGCAAUCUGUGCCUGUAGGCACUAAAUCAGCUUUUGACAAGUAAAGAACAAUGCAGUCCCAGGGUUUUAGGAAUAGAUGGUUGCUGCCAAACCACAAUAAAUGCUUUUGUCUGGAACUCAUGGAACAGUAACAUAGCAAUGGAGGGUGUGCCCUUGUCUAUUAUUCCCUCUGAGCAAAUUCUCAGAGACACGUUACCAGGAUUUAGAUAGGUUUCAUGAAACUAGUAGAGAAACAGGCUUUCAUUUUGUUACGAAGUGAAGAAGAGACAAUGGAACACAGCAAAACAUAUGGGGUUUUUUUUGGUCCUGAUUGAGAGUUAUACAAGCAAUCCCCAGCACCCAUCCUCAGACAGCACUCUGCUAAAGUGAGACUCACAUGAGAAAAUUUGCAUUACCUUUCUUCUGUUGUGAGUUGACAGAAUUGCUUUAUUUCCUCUAUGUAUAAAUACAACCUAUGUCUCCUACUGAGCUCCAGUUGGGGAGUGUGAAUCAGAAUCCAAGUUUAUCCACAUAUAUUCUUGUGCCAAAACUGUCUUUCGGUUUAGACAAUGUGUUUAGUCAAAUAGAAGGUGAGCCUGAAUAUUACGUUUCCCCUGUUUUUUCUCUCUUUCAGGAAGAAUAGAGCUUAAAUAUAAGGCCACCUUGUAUUCAAGGUCAAAUUAUUUCCUCCUACAAUUCAAGAGGAGGGGGGAGAAAGAAAUACGCAAAAGGAGCAGGUGAUAAGAGAGUACUUUAUACUUGGAUCUGUGCAACUUAAUCAGAAUGGUCCAGUCUUUCAGCAGCAGUAUCCCUGCCCUGAUGGUUGCUCCUGUUAUCUUAUGUCCAGGUAAAUAAGUCAAUUUUCUCUCUUCCUGAUACAUUUACAGAGAUCAAGCAUGUGCCCUCUCUCUCCCUACACUGCUAGAGUAAAAAAUCUAAGCUUUUCUCAUAUAAUUGUUUCUUUUUUCUGCAGCCACGCUGGUGGCCCUUUCUUGUGCAGCUUUCUGAGCAUAGGUGACCAAAUCUGUAUACCAUUUGCACAAAGUCAGUUCCAUCAGACUGGUGAUUACAGCAAGAGGUAAAAGUUUUCCAGAUACUAUUGCUUUUGAAGAGGAUUGAUUUUCUGGGGAUGAAUUCUCAGCCAAUUCUAAUCAGGAGCCUUUAAGAGAAUCUAGUUAGGCAUCUAAACCUCAGUCACUCAAAGGGGAAUCUUGUCCUAAGUAAAUAAAAUAAGCUGGAUCAAUGCAAAAAUACACACCUGGACUGAUAACUGGCCUGCUUCAUACACAUGAAUUAAAGCUCUGAACUGCCUGGA